rnacentral:sRNA from 1 species
AUGUACUUCCAUGUACAUUCCGGUUCCUGCGCUCCGGGCGCACCCGGCUGAUGGCCGCUCGCUACGAUUUCUAAAGGCG